rnacentral:rRNA from 1 species
UACGGAGGGUGCAAGCGUUAAUCGGAAUUACUGGGCGUAAAGGGUGCGUAGGCGGUUGUUUAAGUCUGUUGUGAAAUCCCCGGGCUCAACCUGGGAAUGGCAAUGGAUACUGGGCAGCUAGAGUGUGUCAGAGGAUGGUGGAAUUCCCGGUGUAGCGGUGAAAUGCGCAGAUAUCGGGAAGAACACCCGUGGCGAAGGCGGCUCUCUGGGACGGUACUGACGCUGAGACGCGAAAGCGUGGGGAGCGAAACAGG